rnacentral:rRNA from 1 species
UGAACGCUGGCGGCGUGCCUAAUACAUGCAAGUCGAGCGAACGGACGAGAAGCUUGCUUCUCUGAUGUUAGCGGCGGACGGGUGAGUAACACGUGGAUAACCUACCUAUAAGACUGGGAUAACUUCGGGAAACCGGAGCUAAUACCGGAUAAUAUUUUGAACCGCAUGGUUCAAAAGUGAAAGACGGUCUUGCUGUCACUUAUAGAUGGAUCCGCGCUGCAUUAGCUAGUUGGUAAGGUAACGGCUUACCAAGGCAACGAUGCAUAGCCGACCUGAGAGGGUGAUCGGCCACACUGGAACUGAGACACGGUCCAGACUCCUACGGGAGGCAGCAGUAGGGAAUCUUUCGCAAUGGGCGAAAGCCUGACGGAGCAACGCCGCGUGAGUGAUGAAGGUCUUCGGAUCGUAAAACUCUGUUAUUAGGGAAGAACAUAUGUGUAAGUAACUGUGCACAUCUUGACGGUACCUAAUCAGAAAGCCACGGCUAACUACGUG